AUUGAACGCUGGCGGCAGGCCUACCACAUGCAAGUCGAGCGAGAGGCGCACGGGUGAGUAAAGUACGGGGACUGCCCGAUAUCGGGGGAGAACUACUGGAAACGGUAGCUAAUCCCGCCUACUCUCGAAUAACCAAUAUGGGAUUAGAUAGUAGGUGAGGUAAUGGCUCACCUAGGCGACGUGCCCUAGCUGGUCUGAGAGGAUGAGCAGCCACACUGGGACGGAGACACGGCCCAGACUCCUACGGAGGCAGCAGGGGGGAAUAUUGCACAAUGGGCGAAAGCCGGAUGCAGCCAGGCCGCGUGGAGGAAGAAGGCCCUAGGGUUGUAAAGUACGUUCAGUCGGGAGGCGUUACCUGCAGAAGAAGCGCCGGCUAACUCCGUGCCAGCAGCCGCGGUAAUUC
rnacentral:rRNA from 1 species